ACCUCCCUCAGAGAGGGGCUCUGGGUAGUGUAGAGUGUAAUCAAUAUAUGAAUAAUAUAAAAUUAACAUUAAAUUAUUAAUAUUAAUUUAAGAUUAAAAAUGUUUAAAUUAUAAAAUAUAACAAAAUUUCAAAAAAGUAAAUAAUUUCAAGAUGGGCAUUUAGCAAUAGUUAAUAAAGGCCGAAGGGGUUCUCAUGGGGCCAGUCAGCGCAUGGACCUUUGUGCCCCCCUCACAAGGUUGCACAGCCAAGUUUUGACCCCCUUGCAGAAGGCCAGGAGAGUGGCAGCUCACCUCAUCUCUGGGGGCAAGAUAUUCCAUAAUGCGGAGGCAGGGGCAGAGAAGGCUCUAUUGCUUGUUGGUUGCAAAACUCUAGACUUAACACAGAGCCUGUCCAAAUGUUGCUGUUCUAUUUUUAUUUUAAUGGGACUAAAGAGAAAUUGUUAAAUAUUAGGUAUUUAACUAUUUUAGUUAAGUUCAAAUGAAAAGAAAUGUACAGUGUGUCCUGACCUUCAGCAUCCUAUUCAUAGGGUCAUUUUCACUGUCAACUUCAGAUAAGUGGCACAACUUUGUUGUGUCAAACAAUUGAUCUGUCCAAUACCCCCAAUUCCUUUCUAACAGAAGUGAGCCAUAAUGACAGUUGGAAAAAUGCUCCUCCAAACCUAAAAAUACCACUUAGAGGGCCCAAUGUUUCUAAAUCUAGAAUAGGACUUCAGUGUUUAUGGUUAAAAUGUCAGUAUUCUGCAACCAGAUAUUUUUACUUUUUGGAUAUAUCAAUUCCAUGUCAGAAUAUUCUUUAAAAGUAUGUGAUGAUCUGCCAGUCAAGGUAUGAAGAGAUUUUCUGAUCUCACCCCAGGAUAAAUUUCUGGACAUCCUAUGUCCACGACAAUCAUCUGAUAGGCCCAAAAUAUUUCUGGAUCAGAACCAAUGGAUUUAAUCAGUUCCAACCUUACCACUGAUUUGUUAUGGAACAAGUAUAUCUUCCGCAGAGUUGUAAUUUUAUACAUAUUGUGUCUUCCACAUUUUUUUUCCCCCUUUGGAGUAAGCACAGAAAUGUCAGAACAGAGGUUACUGUUCUCUGAGUUGGAUAAUUUAUUCCUAGUUUGAGCAGGUUUAUGCUCUGGAAACUGAUCCUGUAACCCGAAGCCAUAUUUUUGUAAUCAGCCUAGAGGACUUACAACCCUGGAUCUUCUUCCAAGGCAACAUUCAUUUGCUAAUUAUCUCUGCCAGACAAAGGCUAGUAGGUUGAUUAACACCUUUGACCUGCAUGGACCAGACAAUCCUUAACCCCCUAAACUCAGAUUUUCCUGAAAUAGUGCAUGACACUAUCAAUGCAGCUGAAGUAUACUUCUCAUAUGACAAGUGGACGAGGAAAUCUUCUUAUUACUCAUUUAUAAACGCAGCAAUUUUCAGGGCACUUCUAACUGUGGCAGCAGUUAAUCAAAAGGGCACGAUUGCAGGGAAAAUCUCUCAGUAGAUUUGGAUUGUCAGGUGAAUGUUGUUGACUUAAGUAUCUUGAUGUAUCUUUAUUUAGUUUCUCUCUUAUUACUGUAAUCUGGUAUACACUUCACAGUGCUUAAGAACGCAUCAACCAAUUAUUGCGGCAUGAAGAAGUCUUCCUAUUUUGAAGGGGCAUGCCCUCAUGAUGUCACUUCCAUCUAAUCUCCAGACUGAGAGCUUUUAGAUGUUCCACUGUUGAAGUGAUAAAUUUUCUUCUUAUCCUAACACAAGUCAUGCUAUCUAUACAAGCAAUCUACAACAGUUCUGUGAUAAACUACAGGGAUGAGGUGGUUGUGGACAGUGACCUGCUGUCAGCCCUUUGAAGUAGAAGAAGCACAAACCAAGCACUAAGAUUACCUUUACUGGAAGAUUACAGUAAUAGAAUCUAAGGAGUCUGAAAACAUUUCUGCUCUCAUUUACUUUUAUUUUCCAGAAAACCAGGAAGAGUCCAUUCUGAGAUUUUCCCCAUGCUCCUUUUCCUCUUGUGGGAUGAAAUUCCUUUUGCAUGAUAGUUGUCUGGUCUAUGGCUCUUCCUUCUGUCUCCCAAGGUCAUUUCUGCAUAUCAUGAGAUCUGUGUAGCUCCUAUUUGCUGUCUCAGUCUAUGCAAUGGGCAGAAGGAAUAACACUGAGAAUUAAGAGAAAGAGCUGCUAAGGAUCCAGGGCAGCACUGUAACUUUAGAAAACGUCUCAGACCAAACCUUCUCUAGUUCUGACAAAGAUAAUACAAGGGAGGGAGAAAGCAUAUUCAGACUUGCAAAAUUCUGUUACCAUACCCUUAUAAUAAUAGUAGUAGUAUUAUUAUUGUUCUACAUUAAAAUGAAAGCAUUUUCUGCUUCCAAAGCUGAAGAUUCAAACCAUCAAUUUCUUCUUCUAUAUUUGAUGUAGGUAUACUCCAGCUUCACCUGCCUGUUUGGAAAGGAUCAGAAAGCUUUGUCUGUUAUCAUCAUAAUUUCUUAUAAAUAGAAUCAUAGAAUCACAGGGCUGGAAAGGAUCCUGGAGGUCUUCUGGUUCAAUUGUCUGUCCAUAGCAGGAGAUCUUAUUCGGUCUUGGACAAAUGGCUAUUCAAUCUUUUCUUGAAAAUCUCUAAAAAUGGAGCAUCCCAACUCUGGAAGCAUCUCAUGGAGGCCCUCAAAUUUUCAUGGAUGUUAUGAUUCAGCAGAACACAGUUAUAAAAACCCUAAUGUAAGGAACAAUUCUUCUGAAAGACUGCAAAAACAGCCAGUGUGGUUUCACAAAGAAAAGGAUCUUGCAGAGGUAGAUAGAACAUCUUAAAAUAGAGGAUUUAAAAGCACAACAACAAAUAAUCCUAAUGUAAAUGCUGAAGAAUGCAAUGUAGUUGUCCACUCAAAUUUAAUAAAGGCCUGAAAAGAAAAAGAUACAUAAAAGAGCAAUGUCUUCUUUGAGAUGAGAACAUACAUUCAUCUGGUAAUUCUGAAGAGCAGAAUGAAGAACAGAUUUGAGAUUGAUAAAAAUAUGGCAUUUAUUCUGAAUAAAUUUAAAUAUCAGGGGACAGAAGACUUGGGUCCUAGAAUAAUGAAGGAAUUUACUGAUGGGAUUCAGCUGAAUUCUUACAUAAUAUAAAUAUACUGUAAAGCAUCAGACAACAGGAAAGGAGUAAACGACUCUUAUCUUCCAAAAGAGGGGAACUGUCAUUCAGUCAGUUUAACACUGGUAUCUGAAAAUAUACUGGAUCAGAAAAUAAAAUGAUCUAUAAGUAAUACGGAGAUAAGCAAUAAAUCUGUCAAGAAUAAGUCUUGUCAAAAGAACUAUUUUUGCAUAGUACGUCUUUUGUAAUAGAUUAUAGGAAUGCUGUAAAUAUAAUAUACCCCAACUUCAGAAAAGCAUUUUAAAAAAAUAUUCCAUGACUUUGUAAAUAGCGAAGUAGUUAAAUGUGAACUGAGUGGUAUCACUGAUAAGUGACACAUAGAUAGUCUGAAAAGCAUAUUAAUGGUUCCUAAUCAAAUUGUAAAGAAAUAGUGAUGGUGCCACGUGGUUCAGUCCUGGUUCCUCUACUUUUCAGUAUUUUUAUUAAUGUCUUGACUGAAAAAAGAAAGUGCUUACAUACUUGCAGAGAACACACAAUUGGAUUGAAUAGGCAAUAUCAUAGAAGGCUGAAAUAAAAUUCAAAAUAAUUUGGAAAGAUUAGAGCAGUGGAAUUAAAAUAACAGAAUCAAAUGCAUAAGAUAAGAAUCACUUGACUUGGUAAUUUUAAAAGUGAAAAGGAUUUUUGAAUACUGAAUUAUUACAAACUGAGUAGCUGUGCCAUUUUGCUGGCAAAAAGACAAAUUCAGUAUACACAUAAGUAUAGUCCAAAUCAUGUGAAACAUGGUGUCAGGUUAUUCUGUAUUGAUCAGAACUUACCUCUAGUAUUAAAUCCAUUUUUUUUUGUUUCGUACUUACAGGAUUCAAGACAAAAUUCAGAGAAUGCAGUAAGAAUGAUCAGUGUUUACAGCAGAAACUAAAAGCUACGAUUGGCAAUUACAUAAACUGGAAAUGUUUAACUGAGAAAAUUGAAAUGGCAUAUGAUAGCACUCUUCAAAUAAUUGAAAGAAGGUCAUUUUAAAGAAGGCCAAAUUCUUUAUUAGCUUAGAGGGUAGAGCAUGAAACAACAUAUUUAUGAUAAAAGAACUGCAUAUGCCAAAUUAAUGUUGGAAAAAAUUGCAAUAUAAAUUUGAUCAUGUAAAUAAUUACUCAAAAAGAUGGAGAAUUCCAUGAGACAGACUUCUGUCAGAGAUACUUUGAAUUCCUAUUCUGGAUUUAAAUGCUCUCUUCUAACUCUAUGGUUCAUAAUAUGAUACCAACCUUAAUUCUUCCUGGAUAUUCCCCUUUACCUUCUAUAUGAACCUCACAGGAAUAUAUUAAAUUGGCUUUUGCAGCAAAUAGGACACUGAAGGCAUUAUUCAGGAUUUGAUUUGUGAACCUUGAUGAAUACUUUGCAAAGAAUGAAAAGCAGCAGGAAAUGACCGUAUAUAUGCAACACAUCUUCCUCCCUGGGAUUUAUUUAUUCAUCUAGUGAAAGCUGUGUCAAAUUCAGCGUUGUCAUGUCUGAUUGUGAAACGGCAUAUCAAAUUUCAAAGGCAUUGCAGACUGGCUUGCAAAUGAAAUAUGAUAUGAUAUAGUACUUUUUGGAGAAUAUUACAUAUUAGAAUUGUGGACAUAAGAACAAAAGUGGCAAAAUUGUUUAUAAUAUACUGAAGUAUUCUAAGCAACUAAUGACCUUCAAGCCCCACAUAUUUAUCAGUGAAAAGUUCCUAAUUAAUCAUGCUUACAUAAGUUAAUUAAUUUUCAUGUUUUUAUACUUUCUUUAAGAUGGAGUGGUUAUCUAUGACUCUCCAGAUAUUGCUUAACUGUAACUCAAAGUGGCCUCAGCUAGUAAGAUGUAGUUCAGCUAUAUUUAUGUAUCUAUCAUUUGUCCAUCCAUCCAUCCAUCCAUCCAUCCAUCCAUCCAUCCAUCCAUCCAAUGCAUUUAUAUAGCAACCAACAAUAAGUGACUCAGGGCAGCUUACAAAACUUAAAAUAUGCAUCAUAUAAUAAAAACCUAUAAAACAACCCAUUUUUGGCAGGGGUUGUAAAUUUUCUCCUUUGCAAAAACGCAUACUGCAACAAAAGGGAGUUUUGACUAAGUCUUAUAUACAUUAAUGGAAUGGAUUUGUAAUAACUAGAUACAGCAUUAUUUCUGUCAGUGGCAUCUAAUCGAAACCAUAUUUGGCUGAAGGGAGCCCAAAUAAUAAUCUUAAUAAAUAAAUAACAAUAGUUUCCAGAAUAGCUGGCUGUAAAUAAAAUAAGAUAGCAUCUAUGGUAAUACACCAACUUGCAACUAUUUAAACACACCCAAUCUUCAGGGUUUAAUGGAUUCAAUACUUUAUGUACACUACUAUAUAGAAUAUGAAGAGUUUCAUAACCAUUAAAACACUACUGAGGCCGUCAUGCACAAAUGUGAAGUUUAUUGGAUAAUAAACAGAUAUCCAAGAAUGUCUGGUCCUAGUCUUACAUGGAUCCUGAUUGUGUUUGCCUCUUCAACCUCAUCUUAUUUUUCACUGGAGCGAUGCUUUAUGAAGAUACGGCAUCAUUUACUGGAUUACCAAGGAGGGAAAUGGUGGUUGCCAGGUGAUGAGUCAUCACAGCCAUAUUAAGCCUUAAUUAUUUCCUGCUAAUUAAUUGUCAUGCCCCAGUUUUGCCACUGGAGCAAUCAUGGAGAAAGGACAUUUGGGAAGGAUCCUGAAUUUGAGAGAUACAGUCUGGAAAAAUAGUUUAGUUGAUUAUGCAGUACCCUGCCAAAUGUUUGUGCUAUCCAAAUUCAAGUCUUGUAUUACUUAUUCAGCACUUUGAUUAUGUAUAUGAGAUAAAAUAGGGCCUUUAUCUUCUAAAAACUGGAACUUUGAGAUGCUUUCUGUCCCUAAAGACUAGAAAAAAAAUCAGUCCAAUCCCACUUUGAAUUGAAAUUUAAAAAGAAAGAAGCAGCAGGUAAGUUUGGAUAGCCAUACCAUAGCUGCUCACACCUAUAUUAUCUAAUCCAGUUAUUGAUAGUAUAUUUUAUGGGAAAACGAACCAGCUCAGAUAAAGUACGUGAUCAGUUAGAAUGAUCAUAGCAGCCUAAUUAAAAGUAAAUACCAAUGCAAUUGAAAUAUUAGUAAAAGGGGUCUUCUAGACAGUCUCCUCUAAACUGGACAGAAAAUUUUAAGAGGCAUGAGGUCAUUUACACGGAAUAACAUAUUGUUCUCGAUUUGUGUUAUGUACUACUAAUGGAACAAAAGGUUAAAAUGAUACAAGGAACCAAGAAGCUACCAUUAUAUCAAGUUAUUGUUCUUGCACAAUAACUAUACUUUUAUUCUAUACAUCCC